ACGCUUCUUUUUCCACCGGAGCUUGCUCCACCGGAAAAAGAAGAGUGGCGAACGGGUGAGUAACACGUGGGUAACCUGCCCAUCAGAAGGGGAUAACACUUGGAAACAGGUGCUAAUACCGUAUAACAAUCGAAACCGCAUGGUUUUGAUUUGAAAGGCGCUUUCGGGUGUCGCUGAUGGAUGGACCCGCGGUGCAUUAGCUAGUUGGUGAGGUAACGGCUCACCAAGGCCACGAUGCAUAGCCGACCUGAGAGGGUGAUCGGCCACAUUGGGACUGAGACACGGCCCAAACUCCUACGGGAGGCAGCAGUAGGGAAUCUUCGGCAAUGGACGAAAGUCUGACCGAGCAACGCCGCGUGAGUGAAGAAGGUUUUCGGAUCGUAAAACUCUGUUGUUAGAGAAGAACAAGGAUGAGAGUAACUGUUCAUCCCUUGACGGUAUCUAACCAGAAAGCCACGGCUAACUACGUGCCAGCAGCCGCGGUAAUACGUAGGUGGCAAGCGUUGUCCGGAUUUAUUGGGCGUAAAGCGAGCGCAGGCGGUUUCUUAAGUCUGAUGUGAAAGCCCCCGGCUCAACCGGGGAGGGUCAUUGGAAACUGGGAGACUUGAGUGCAGAAGAGGAGAGUGGAAUUCCAUGUGUAGCGGUGAAAUGCGUAGAUAUAUGG
rnacentral:rRNA from 1 species